rnacentral:lncRNA from 1 species
CAGAAAGUGGAAUGAAAGCUCUCCAGUCUCUGGGCGAAAAACAGCAGGGGUUUUUGUGAUUGGUCCUUCUGGGAACAAUGACACUGGAGCGCGUGUGCUCGAGACGACUCCAUGUUUUACUUUCAGUGUUUGAACGAAUACAACAUCUCCCGGUUGGAAUAUUAUCGCUAUUUUACGAGAAAAAUCGCAUAUUUUUGUUUUUUAAACAGCAUUUGACAUGCUUCGAAGUACGGUAAUGGAAUAUUAAAAAAAAAAUUGUCACGAAACGCGCCGGCGCGUCACCCUUCGGAUAGUUACCUGAACGCAUGAACAAAACGGAGUUAUUUCAAUAUAACUAUGGAUUAUUUCUAACCAUAACAACAUUUGUUGUUGAAGUAGAAGUCCUGGGAGUGCAUUCUGACGAAGAACAGCAAAGCAGCAUCCAGGCCUCCAGAGUACUCACCCUAUCACCUUCUGUAGGGACGGGAGCCGCAGCUGUUUACUGAGGUGAGCCUGAACAUGGACAAGGUUCAGGAGAAACAUAAGGAAAACCACCAGAGGAGAAUCAAGAAGGGGACCAAGUGCUUCGACAUCCGGUCAAAUUACUUGGCUUGGAAGAAGGAUGAAAGGAAGUCGAGACCUUGCUGCUCUUUCGCUCCUAGCUGGGGCCACGAUCCGUUCAGGGACCAUCCCUCACCUCCCUCAUCAACCCCACUGACAUAAAAAAAAUACAGACAGGACCUAGGGGUACUGCCUAACACCCAGAUGUGGAUCUACCUGAUGUCCUCCAUUACCAACCACCCUCCAACUUUUCAUUACAUCAUCUACAGCUACUGUUACUGUCAUGUUGUCAUUAUCUGCUAAGAAAGAGCAAGAAAACUAUCAUACUGGGAACAUAAUGUGAGAUACAAUGAUUAUCUAAAAACACUAGCACUCAGAACAAAGAGAGCAGCAGUGCAUGGACUUCAGUCUCCCUCUUCCAGUCCCCCUUCCGAGACUGACUGUUUGUUGAGAACAGUGACAGACAGAACCUCCCAACCACAUAGCACCCACCUCCUCUCUAUUCCACACACCAGAAUUCAGUAUUUCAGUCUAUGAUUGCCAUGUGAGGACAAAAAAAGCUAAGUUUUAAAUAUAUAAUCGUAAAUAUUGCCAGGUUGGUUUUCAUAGCUUGUUCAUUGUUGAAAAUAUUAAUGUAUCCCUUGAUGAUAUUUGUUAGGUCAACAUUAUUCAUUGUUGUAUCAUAGGACCUAUAAUAGAUAAACAUUCAACCACAAUGAGCUAUAUAAACUCAGCAAAAAAAUAAACGUCCUCUCACUCUCAACUGCGUUUAUUUUCAGCAAACUUAACGUGUAAAUAUUUGUAUGAACAUAACAAGAUUCAACAACUGAGACAUAAACUGAACAAGUUCCACAGACAUGUGACUAAUAGAACUGGAACAAUGUGUCCCUGAACAAAGGGGGGUUCAAAAUCAAAAGUAACAGUCAGUAUCUGGUCUGGCCACCAGCUGCAUUAAGUACUGCAGUGCAUCUCCUCCUCGUGGACUGCACCAGAUUUGCCAGUUCUUGCUGUGAGAUGUUACCCCACUCUUCCACCAAGGCACCUGCAAGUUCCCUGACAUUUCUGGAGGGAAUGGCCCUAGCCCCCACCCUCUGAUCAUACAGGUCCCAGACGUGCUCAAUGGGAUUGAGAUCCGGGCUCAUCGCUGGCCAUGGUAGAACACUGACAUUCCUGUCUUGCAGGAAAUCACACACAGAACGAGCAGUAUGGCUAGUGUCAUUGUCAUGCUGGAGGGUCAUGUCAGGAUGAGCCUGCAGGAAGGAUACCACAUGAGGGAGGAGAAUGUCUUCCUUGUAACGCACAGCGUUGAGAAUUCCUGCAAUGACAACAAGCUCAGUCUGAUGAUGCUGUGACACACCACCCCAGACCAUGAUGGACCCUCCACAUCGAUCCCGCUCCAGAGUACAGGCCUCGGUGUAAAGCUCAUUCCUUCAACGUGAACGCAAUUCCGACCAUCACGCCUGGUGAGACAAAACUGCAACUCGUCAGUGAAGAGCACUUUUAGCCAGUCCUGUCUGGUCCAGCGACGGUGGGUUUGUGCCCAUAGGCAACGUUGUUGCCGGGGAUGUCUGGUGAGCCCUCAGUCCAGCCUCUCUCAGCCUAUUGCGGACAGUCUGAGCACUGAUGGAGGGAUUGUGCAUUCCUGGUGUAACUCGGGCAGUUGUUGUUGCCAUCCUGUACCUGUCCCGCAGGUGUGAUGUUCUGAUGUACCGAUCCUGUGCAGGUGUUGUUACACGUGGUCUGCCACUGCGAGGACAAUCAGCUGUCCGCCCUGUCUCCCUGUAGUGCUGUCUUAGGCGACUCACAGUACGGACAUUGUGUAAAUCAGCUAGAAAGAUGUGUCGGCAUCAAGUAAUUGUCUCUGGCCCCCUCCCAGUUAGGGGGAGUGAUGAGCUCUACAGCAGAGUCUCAAAACUCAAUCACUGGUUGAAAACUGUUUUCUGCCCCUACCAAAAGAUAGAAUUUGUAGAUAAUUGGUCCUCUUUCUGGGACUCACCCACAAACAGGACCAAGCCUGGCCUGUUGAUGAGUGACUGACUCCAUCCUAGCUGGAGGGGUGCUCUCAUCUUAUCUAAGAACAUAGACAGGGCUCUAACUUCCCUAGCUCCACAAUGAGAUAGGGUGCAGGCCAGGCAGCAGGCUGUUAGCCAGCCUGCCAGCCUGCCAGCUUAGUGGAGCCUGCCACUAGCACAGUCAGUGUAGUCAGUUCAGCAAUCCCCAUUGAGACCGUGUCUGUGCCUCGAUCUACGAUGGGCAAAACAAAAAAUGGCGGUGGUUGGUUUAGCAAUCUCACCGGUAUAAAGACCUCCUCC